AUGUAUUAGUGAAGUAGGUUCUGAGAAUUUUGUGUGCUGCCGUGAUAUAUGGAUGAAAACCUGUGUGUUGUUUGAUUUGUUUGUGUUGAUUGUGAUAGAUGACUAGGCUAGUAAAUUAGGAUAUUUGUUGUCCAAUUUUCUGUUUGAUUUACUUUUAUACUUAAAUGUUUUCUCUUCAAAAUUUUAAUGACAAUACUCCUAUAAAUGACAUUGCAAUGAAUAUGUUGUUACACUUGGACUGAUGUUCUAAAAUUUUAAUAACUUUGUUUUAAAUGCAGACGUCACUGGAUGUUAGUGAUCAUUGAUCCCAGAUGACCAUACAUGUUACUAUCUUGAUCCACUUAGAAAAUCUCCUCCAAAUGAUUUGAAGAACCUUAUGAACAGUGUCUCUUCACACAUUAAGCGAAAAACAGGAAGGAAUGAAAAAAUUACAAGUGGAAAAUAGUCAAUUGCCAUCGUCAAACAUCGUCAGUAGAGUGCGACUUUUAUAUCAUAAGGAUGAUGAAGGACUAUUGCUUGAAUGAGACACCCAUGCGAUGGCUAACUAGUAAUGUAAGUGUAUUUAUAAUUAUUGAACUACAAUUCUAUUGAAUUUAAUUUCUUACUUAGUUUUUUAUUUUGUGUUUUGUAAUGUGGUGGGAAGAAUAAAUAUACACUUGGCGAAAUUAAUGAAACUCGAGAUGAAUGGGCAGCGAAGCUUCUUGAGCGGAUGAGUCAUAGCUAGAGUAACUUUUGAAAUCAGAAUUAAAAAAAUAUACUAAUUGUAGUUUUUAGUUAGCACUUACAUAGUUAUU